rnacentral:tRNA from 1 species
GAUGAAUAGGGCGCUGGGGUACGCCGCCGGGCUCAUAACCCGGAACCGCUGAGUUCGAAUCUUAGAUUCAUCA